rnacentral:misc_RNA from 1 species
GAUGAAGAACGCAGCGAAAUGCGAUAAGUAAUGUGAAUUGCAGAAUCCAGUGAAUCAUCGAAUCUUUGAACGCACAUUGCGCCCGCCAGCAUUCUGGCGGGCAUGCCUGUCCGAGCGUCAUUUCAACCCUCAAGCCCCUCCGGGGGCCUGGCGUUGGGGAUCGGCCCCGCUCCGGCGGCCGGCCCCGAAAUGUAGUGGCGGUCUCGCCGCUGCCUCCUCUGCGUAGUAGAAACACCUCGCAUUGGGACGCGGCGGGCCCACGCCGUUAACCAGAUGAAUUUUUUCAAGGUUGACCUCGGAUCAGGUAGGAAUACCCGCUGAACUUAAGCAUAUCAAUAAGCGGAGGA